CGCUGAAGACUGGUACUUGUACCGGUUGGAUGAGCAGCCCCUUUGUGAGUAACGCGUGGGUAACCUGCCCUAUAGAGGGGGAUUACUAGAGGAAACUUUAGCUAAUACCGCAUAAAAUCUAAUAACACAUGUUAUAAGAUUGAAAGUGCCAACUGGUACACUAUAGGAUGGACCCGCGUUGUAUUAGCUAGUUGGGGAGGGAAAGGCUCACCAAGGCGAUGAUACAUAGCCGACCUGAGAGGGUGAUCGGCCACACUGGGACUGAGACACGGCCCAGACUCCUACGGGAGGCAGCAGUAGGGAAUCUUCGGCAAUGGACGAAAGUCUGACCGAGCAACGCCGCGUGAGUGAAGAAGGUUUUCGGAUCGUAAAACUCUGUUGUAAGAGAAGAACACCAGUAAGAGUGGAAAGCUUACUGGCUGACGGUAUCUUACCAGAAAGCCACGGCUAACUACGUGCCAGCAGCCGCGGUAAUACGUAGGUGGCAAGCGUUGUCCGGAUUUAUUGGGCGUAAAGCGAGCGCAGGCGGUUCAUUAAGUCUGAUGUAAAAGGCAGUGGCUCAACCAUUGUAA
rnacentral:rRNA from 1 species